rnacentral:rRNA from 1 species
CAAUAAGCGGAGGAAAAGAAACCAACAGGGAUUGCCUUAGUAGCGGCGAGCGAAGCGGCAACAGCUCAAAUUUGAAAUCUGGCUACUUUGUAGUCCGAGUUGUAAUUUGCAGAGGAUGCUUUUGGUGAGGUGCCUUCCGAGUUCCCUGGAACGGGACGCCAGAGAGGGUGAGAGCCCCGUACGGUUGGACACCAAACCUUUGUAUAGCUCCUUCAACGAGUCGAGUAGUUUGGGAAUGCUGCUCUAAAUGGGAGGUAUAUCUCUUCUAAAGCUAAAUACCGGCUAGAGACCGAUAGCGCACAAGUAGAGUGAUCGAAAGAUGAAAAGCACUUUGAAAAGAGAGUUAAACAGCACGUGAAAUUGUUGAAAGGGAAGCGCCUAUGACCAGACUUGUUUCUGUCAGUUUUGCUUGUUUUCGGACUUGUUUACUCUGUCAGUACAGGCCAACAUCAGUUUGUUGUUUGGGAGAAAGGCUUAGGGAAUGUGGCUCCCUCGGGAGUGUUAUAGCCCUUUGCAUAAUACCAUUCGGCAGACUGAGGACCGCGCUUCGGCAAGGAUGUUGGCGUAAUGG